GCAUAGGCUCUCGUACUGAGUGCAAGUAAGACAGGUACAAAACGUGUUGUUAAAUUAAAAAAGGACGUAAAACGAGUAAAAACGGUAUCCAACAGCGAACAGUUGAAUAUCUCUGUCGUGACCCCCCCACUUUCAGUGUCGACACACGACUCGGUCCGUUCAGAUAUCCGAGGGAUAGAGAGAGGAAAACGACUUUUUCCCCCAAACAAAAUUGCGAAGAUAUCGGGAGAAUUUGAAAAAUUUUCAUUUUUUAAAAAAUAUCACAGUGCUGCGGACGAUACGGAGACAGUUAUGAGAGAACUCAGAGACAUUUAUUCGUGUAAAGCACGAGUGAAAAAAAUUGUCUGAAGUGCUUGGUGUUUACCUCAUUGUUCGUCAAACUGUUUUUUUUUACAAGUUUUUAAAACCGAAAACAGUGAAGGGAACGAGGAUUUGCGGUUGUGUCUGUUGGCUAUCGCCUCACGCAUGCAUAUGGAGGUGUCCCCGAACCGGCGCUGUCUGAACCAGCUUAACAGCUGAUCCAAGUACGAGGCGGCGGUGAACGGGGCCACUACUGCACCACCACCCCGCGAACGGAUUAAAAAAAUCAUAACAAUCCAUUGUUUUUCUUCGACGAUCGGCCAAUUGAUCGAGAGAAGGAAGAUAAUACAUUGAGGGGCCUGAGAAGAUAAUAACAGUCAGAUUGACGCAAAGAUGGUGAAAACUUUUCAAGCUUAUCUGCCCUCCUGCCAUCGCACUUACUCGUGCAUACACUGCCGUGCUCACUUAGCUAAUCACGACGAACUCAUCUCCAAGUCCUUUCAGGGCAGCCAGGGUCGUGCCUAUCUAUUUAAUUCAGUAGUUAAUGUGGGCUGCGGACCCGCUGAGGAAAGAGUUCUGCUGACAGGGCUUCAUGCUGUCGCAGAUAUAUACUGCGAGUGCUGUAAAACAACACUCGGCUGGAAAUAUGAGCACGCGUUUGAAUCAAGUCAGAAGUACAAGGAGGGCAAAUUCAUAAUCGAACUUGCCCACAUGAUAAAGGAGAAUGGAUGGGAAUGAACCACCGUCAUCGGGGCAACAGUGGGGGAUCCUGACUAGAUAAAAAUCCCCUAUUGGAGCCCCUUGGAACUGACUAAUGACGUGAAUAAUUAAUUCUUAGAGAGACAGGCUAAAAGCGCUAAACAUAAAAACAAUCCAUACAUUGUUGUUCUCAUGUUUCAGUCCCUCGAAUCAUUGUAACUAAAACGGAUACUAAUGAUGGGAAAAAUGUUUCUCGCCGCAACCGGAAAAAAACAUUUUCGAAAUGAACAUAAAUAUUUGAAUUGAAGGAAUGAAGAAAGUCGAUUAUUGUGGAGGAUGUGGAUUAUUGUGGAGCCAUAUAGAGAGGAUUUUAUGACGGAAAGAGAUGAUUAAGUAUUUGUAUAUUGAGAGAUAUUUUUGGAAAUGCGAGAGAUUGUCGAGGUGAUGGGAAAAUUUGUUGUGGAGAUUGAGUUGUCGAGGGAUGUUUUUGGGGUCGACUGUGGUUAAAGUGGUGCCAUUGUGGUGAUUUUUUUUUUCUUCGUGGGUGGGAACACGUGCCGAUGAAUAAUCCGGGGAAUUCUCAAGAAUGGAACCAAAAAAAAUUGUUUUAACUGAUUGAGAAGAACGAAGUCCCAAAAAAUGAGGGGGUAAAAAAAAUCGACACAUGAUUUUUUUUGUCCUCGUCAACUCCCCUUUGCCCCUGGAUUUAAAGAGGCACCAAAAUUCCCAGGGCGAAUAUCGUUGUUGUGGGGAUAACCUAUGAGAAUUUUUCCGCAACUAAAAGGCCGCAAAAAAUAAUGUUGAAAUGAAAUAAGAUACGAUGAAAUAUGUAAUACGAGCGCAGCGGGGGUGUGCCACAGACUUUGUUGGACUGACUGCCUGCCUGCCGCCUCUAUCGUUGGAAUUUCACUGCCGAUAAUUCCUAAUUAAUUAAUAAAGAUGAAAUAAUGGGAGAUGUCGAGAUGAGAGAGACGAGGAAAUAUAAUUGGGAGGAUUUUAGAAAUGAAAAUUGGGAUAAAUUUACUGAGCCUGAGAAAUGCCCAGAUUUGUAGCCCCAGCGUAGCCUACACUAGUGUUAUGAGAAAGCCUAUAUAAAAUAUUAUAGGAAUUCCUUUAAUGAUUUCUGUGAUUAAUUGAAAUGACGAGAUAGGGGAUUAAAUUUUCGGAAUUUUUUUCUCGUAGUUGAGUGUGAUAGAAUGAGAAUCAUUAGCUGGGAGUAUUCGAAGGAUUUGGGGUGAAGUCCUGGCCGGUCCCUUUGGCCCCAUUUUUUUUCAGAAGAAAAAUUAUUGACAAAAAUUUCUGAUUAAAUUUUUGUCUAACCAAAUUUUAUAUGUAAAUGUUUUUAAAAAACUUCUUUGGUUUCCCUCUGUUUCGAGAUCUUAAGUUGCAGGUGCUAAAGUUCUGUUAUCAAUCCAACGUUAGUUUUUUCUAAACAUCUAAAUAUCUCUGAAUUCAACUGAGAUACAAAAAAAAAAUGUCAAGACUUUUUUCAUGGCAUUGAGAAUUUCGUGGAAAAGUCUCAUAAAAAUUCUGUUAUCUCCCGUUGAAUCCGAAAUAUAUAAGAACAAAUCUUCAAUUUUGUUUCUUCAACGGAAUUUUCCUCUCCUCAAUCUCCCACCCCGCAAUAUAUUCCCGUGAUAUUUAUACCCUGAGCGUGAUGAAGAAUGCAAAUAGAAAUUGAUCUCUUCAUUUCACUUAAUCCCAAUCUAGCGGUUAAGGAUUGUAAAGUGGGAGAUAUUUCAAACAUAAAAUUUGAUGAAAAAAAAAUUAAUAAUUAUAAUAAUAAUUGUGAGAGAUUGAAGGAGGGUAAUGGUGUUAAAUAUCGAUGAGAAUGAAUUUUUAUGGUUGAAUGGUAUUAAUAUUGUAUUAUAGAUAAUCACUCAUGUCUUUCUCUAUUUUUUCAUUUAGUCUGUGAAUUAUCACAUAGUGAAAUUGAAUCUGAAUAACUGUGAAUGAACAUUCAGAUGUUAGACAUAAUUUUGUAACUCAUGAUUUAUUCAUUUUCCAUUAAAAAAACCAUUGUUUACAUAUUUUUGGUUAUUUUUUUUGUCUUUCGUUGAAAGCAAUUGAUAUAUUUUUUUUAUUCAUCAAUAAAAAUCAUGGCAUUGUUGCACGUGCACUAGGACGAAUGUUAAUUAUCAUUUGAAAUUUCAAUGUCUUCAUCUGUCGUUGAGUGGAAUAAGGAGAUGCGUAGAAUUUCCGUGUGAAAAUUCAAAUUUUACAGGAAAAUAUAAAGCAAUUACCUGAGAAAGUACAAGUUAAUCAUGAAUGAUGCAGGCGCCAUUUUGAAAGGCCCAGGAGGUCACCAUUUUCGGACGCGAGGUGAAUGGCCAUUUUAAUCAAUCGGUUGUCAAGCAAAUGAGAAGUUAGAGAGGAUUAUUGUCGCUGUUUUGAGGACAUGAAGGAUGAAAUGGCCGUUCACUUCGUGUUUUAAAGGGAAUUUCUUGGGAAUUUUCAGCACCAACGCCCGCAGUACCCUCCCUCCCCCCUCUGUUCUCCAAAUCACCCCCAAAAACCUUUUUUUAUUUCACUCAACUUCCUAUUGUUCACCCUUUUAACGACCAAUAACACGGAAAAUCACACUGACAAAUUUUGUUUGAUUGAGAAUGUCACGAGCAUCGAUUUGAAGAUUUUAAAGCAUCAAAUUUGUCAAUUAAAUUGCUGGAAAAAAAUGCAAAAAGAUAAUUUUGAAAAUAAAAGGAAAUAUUUUUCAAAAACUUUCCGUUGUACAAAUAAACGAUGGCAAUUUAACCACUGAAAAUGCUUGAACAUGAUGAGAAAAAACAUAGUUUUGAAAACAUUUUGAAAAUUUCUUCAAUACCUCUAUGCCAUCCUCAACAACAAAUCGCACAUUCAGAUAGCGAAACCCAUAAAAUUCGAAAUUCAAUGAAUUACGAGUGCUUGAGCGUGUGAUUGUGACGGCCUAAUCCUCUACAUGUCUCUCGAGAGUACUUUUGAUAUCAAUGUGGUGACAAAAAAAAAAUACUAAAAAUUACAAGAUAAAAAAAUUAAUUAUUUUUCUCCUCUACUAUUUUCCCGUUUCAUUGUAUCUCCACCUCUUUGUGAAAUAUCAGUUGAAAUUUUAUGUAAUAAAAUUGUAAACACGAAUUCACGAUUAAUUAAACAAUACAUAGAUAUUUACUUCAAUUGAGUUACACCGAUAAAUAGAAACAAAGAAAUAAAUAUACGGAGCGAAUAGACAUUUGUUUUGUCAAACUCAUUGAAGUGCGACGAAAAGAAACACAAGUUAAUUUUUUUUAUGAAUAAAAAUAUUAAAAAACCAA